rnacentral:rRNA from 1 species
GUCUACAGCCAGGCCACCCUGAAUGUGCCCGAUCCCGUCUGAUCUCGGAAGCUAAGCAGGGUUGGGCCUGGUUAGUACUUGGAUGGGAGACCACCUAGGAAGACCAGGUGCUGUAGGCG